GACGAACGCUUGCGGCGUGCUUAACACAUGCAAGUCGAACGGAAAGGCCCUGCUUUUGUGGGGUGCUCGAGUGGCGAACGGGUGAGUAACACGUGAGUAACCUGCCCUUGACUUUGGGAUAACUUCAGGAAACUGGGGCUAAUACCGGAUAGGAGCUCCUGCUGCAUGGUGGGGGUUGGAAAGUUUCGGCGGUUGGGGAUGGACUCGCGGCUUAUCAGCUUGUUGGUGGGGUAGUGGCUUACCAAGGCUUUGACGGGUAGCCGGCCUGAGAGGGUGACCGGCCACAUUGGGACUGAGAUACGGCCCAGACUCCUACGGGAGGCAGCAGUGGGGAAUAUUGCACAAUGGGCGGAAGCCUGAUGCAGCAACGCCGCGUGCGGGAUGACGGCCUUCGGGUUGUAAACCGCUUUCGCCUGUGACGAAGCGUGAGUGACGGUAAUGGGUAAAGAAGCACCGGCUAACUACGUGCCAGCAGCCGCGGUGAUACGUAGGGUGCGAGCGUUGUCCGGAUUUAUUGGGCGUAAAGGGCUCGUAGGUGGUUGAUCGCGUCGGAAGUGUAAUCUUGGGGCUUAACCCUGAGCGUGCUUUCGAUACGGGUUGACUUGAGGAAGGUAGGGGAGAAUGGAAUUCCUGGUGGAGCGGUGGAAUGCGCAGAUAUCAGGAGGAACACCAGUGGCGAAGGCGGUUCUCUGGGCCUUUCCUGACGCUGAGGAGCGAAAGCGUGGGGAGCGAACAGGCUUAGACACCCUGGUAGUCCACGCUGUAAACGGUGGGUACUAGGUGUGGGGUCCAUUCCACGGGUUCCGUGCCGUAGCUAACGCUUUAAGUACCCCGCCUGGGGAGUACGGCCGCAAGGCUAAAACUCAAAGGAAUUGACGGGGCCCCGCACAAGCGGCGGAGCAUGCGGAUUAAUUCGAUGCAACGCGUAGAACCUUACCUGGGUUUGACAUGGAUCGGGAGUGCUCAGAGAUGGGUGUGCCUCUUUUGGGGUCGGUUCACAGGUGGUGCAUGCCUGUCGUCAGCUCGUGUCGUGAGAUGUUGGGUUAAGUCCCGCAACGAGCGCAACCCUUGUUCACUGUUGCCAGCACGUUAUGGUGGGGACUCAGUGGAGACCGCCGGGGUCAACUCGGAGGAAGGUGGGGAUGACGUCAAGUCAUCAUGCCCCUUAUGUCCAGGGCUUCACGCAUGCUACAAUGGCUGGUACAGAGAGUGGCGAGCCUGUGAGGGUGAGCGAAUCUCGGAAAGCCGGUCUCAGUUCGGAUUGGGGUCUGCAACUCGACCUCAUGAAGUCGGAGUCGCUAGUAAUCGCAGAUCAGCAACGCUGCGGUGAAUACGUUCCCGGG
rnacentral:rRNA from 1 species